AAGUCGUAACAAGGUUUCCGUAGGUGAACGCGGAAGGAUCAUUAACACGUAUCCAACGUUAAAACCCCCCCGUGCACCUUCAGUGUGCUCGUACGCUUUGUUAGAAAGUAGCACUGAAAGUGUCAAGGGGUGGCGCAGUCACGAUCGCUAGAGGCCGACACGGCCGGCGACCGGGUCACCGGGCUCACGCCCCUUAAUAACCUUUGCAUGAAAACGGCUGCGCAAUUGUGCGACCAUAAACCGAACAACUGUUAACAAUGCUUGGUUCUC
rnacentral:misc_RNA from 1 species